rnacentral:miRNA from 1 species
CGCGCACCAUGAUAGGCGAAGCUGCGGCCAGAGCAUGCCAGGACAGACAGACACACAGACAGACAGACAGAGAGACAGGCUCCUAGGACUCUCGACCGAACUAACCAGAGCUCAGCGGCAGCAGCA